rnacentral:rRNA from 1 species
UACGUAGGGUGCAAGCGUUGUCCGGAAUUAUUGGGCGUAAAGAGCUCGUAGGCGGUUUUUCGCGUCUGCUGUGAAAACCCGGGGCUUAACUCCGGGCCUGCAGUGGGUACGGGCAGACUAGAGUGCGGUAGGGGAGACUGGAAUUCCUGGUGUAGCGGUGAAAUGCGCAGAUAUCAGGAGGAACACCGGUGGCGAAGGCGGGUCUCUGGGCCGAUACUGACGCUGAGGAGCGAAAGCGUGGGGAGCGAACAGG